AACUCUUAGCGGGGGAUCACUCGGCUCGUGCGUCGAUGAAGAACGCAGCUAGCUGCGAGAACUAAUGUGAAUUGCAGGACACAUUGAUCAUUGACACUUCAAACGCACUUUGCGGCCCCAGGUUCCUCCUGGGGCUACGCCUGUCUGAGGGUCG
rnacentral:rRNA from 1 species